rnacentral:rRNA from 1 species
GAGCGGCGGACGGGUGAGUAACACGUUAGAAUCUGCCCCAAACUGAGGGAUAAGCUCGGGAAACCGAGUCUAAUACCGCAUAUGGUCUUCGGAUUAAAGCCUUCGGGCGGUUUGGGAGGAGCUUGCGUACGAUUAGUUAGUUGGUGAGGUAAUGGCUUACCAAGACUAUGAUCGUUAGCUGGUCUGAGAGGAUGAUCAGCCACACUGGAACUAAGACACGGUCCAGACUCCUACGGGAGGCAGCAGUAGGGAAUUUUCCACAAUGGGCGAAAGCCUGAUGGAGCAAUGCCGCGUGCAGGAUGAAUGUCUUCGGAUUGUAAACUGCUUUUAUGAGGGAAGAUUAUGACGGUACCUCAUGAAUAAGCCUCGGCUAACUCCGUGCCAGCAGCCGCGGUAAUA